rnacentral:sRNA from 1 species
GUAUGGUGGUGUGAAACUGUAGUCCCAGCUACUUGGGAGACUGAGACCAGAGGAUUGCUUGAGUCCAGGAGUUGGAGACCAGCCAGGACAAUGUAGUAAGACCUUGUCUCAA